CUCGGCCCUUUCGGCGCGGCGUGCGGCGGCGUUCGGGCGGCUGCGGGCGGCUGCUCCGGUCCCGGUCCUCGCUGCCCGUCCCCGCAGCCGGGGAAGGCCCAUGCUGGCUGGGCGCUGCUCAUGCCGCCGGCCGCGCUCCCCAGCGCUCCUUCCCGCGCCACGUUGCAGCGAAACCUCUGCAGGCCCCGCACUCUGAUGGCGGCUGUCGGGCGGCGGCGGCGACCCGCUCCGCUGCUCCGCUUCAGCCCUGUCCUUGAGCAAGGGAAGGCUGCGGGAUGAAAGCGUGGCUGUGGAUCGACACUGAGAGAGAGGAGAACAGUGUGAGUAGAGCGUUUUUUAAAGCCUCCAUCUGGGUUCGUGCGGAGUGGGGCAGGUCACAAAGGCUGUUGUGCCAUCGGCUGAACCCUUGUUAGCUGCAUGCUUCUGCCCCUUCAUGUGUCUGCAGCCUGGCAGUAGGCAAAAGCUGAUGCGAAAGAGACUCUGGGCCUUGAGAAAUCGAAGAAGAAGCUGUGUGGUGUGGCAGACCCAGGAGGCUUCUCAAAGACCUGAGAUCAUGCUUGGAGAUGUAGAAGUUGUGGCAAACCUGGCUGCAGCAGCAGGACUGCUGGCAGGACCUGAAGAUCUGUAGAUGGCUAAAACUUCAUCUUUUCUCCUGUGGUGGCCAAAGUCCACUGCAGCCAUUCCAUGUGCCUGUGAUGCUGCCUGUGUUUGGAGUGUUUCCUUCAACCUGUGUACCCAAAUGUCUGUUUCAAAACCCUUUUAUCUGUGUCCUUCCUGCUCUUGGCUUUCCUAUCUGAAGUGCCAUGAGCUGUCCUCUCACCCUUCUCCCAGUCACCUCAGCUCAGACACUUCACACCCAGAUGUUGUGGAAGAGAAAACUGGGAUUGAAAGGUGAUCAAGAGCGGUCUGGAAUCCCAACCUAAAUAAAGAAGCUCCCUCUAACAA